GACAAAAUGCAAGUGAAAGAAAGUUUGUGAUGUUUACACUUGAUCGUAAGAAUACUUUUCUCACUUUUGAAAAGAAGAUCAUGAAUCUUUUCAUUUCCUCAUGUAGCAAGACAUUUUGAGAAGUUGUCUAGAAACUGAACGUUUUGAUCAAAGCAAGUCUUCAGCUGUGGAGCAGAAAGACACUUCCUUAUUCAUAAGUCAAUGACAGAAGAUGACGUCGGAGCAGAAUCUGGAUACAAUGGAAGGUGAACAUAAAUGCUUAGAGUCAAGAGAAAAAAGAUAGAAAAACAAGUCCAGAUGAGAAAUGCCCGACUACAGUCAGUGUUGAUAUAAAUUCUGAAACAGGUGCGAGUGUAAACGCUCCUCUAUUGACUGCGAACACCUUCACAGGACCAGUAACCAUUUAUGGCUCAAAUGCUGAAGGAAACGAUAAACAGAAAUCCUCAGAGAUGGCAGAGGAACACAGAGAAAUACAAGAGCUGCAAAACUUUUUAGAAACUCACAAAACAAACAUGAAGGAGAAAACAGAAUAUAUUUUUGAGGGCAACAAAGACAAGGAAGCACAACUCAAGGCUGUUUACACAGAUCUGUUCAUCACAGAGGGAGAUAUGAAAGAUGUCAAUCACGAACAUGAGAUUCUGAAGA